GGAAGGAUCAUCAAUAAUCCAAAUGAUCAGUGACUUAAAAAACCACUGGUCUAACCUUCUUGUGAACCGUUUAUUGUUUAUUGGUUGGGAGUAUAACUGAGAUGUCAACUUUGUUGUCGGAUCGACUCCCAAUCGAUUAUCUUUAUACAAACUAUUUUAUUUUUGAAGUUGAUUAUUUUACAGGAAACUGUACUAAUAUAUAUACAACUUAUAGCGAUGGAUCUCUAGGCUCUGGUAUCGAUGAAGAACGCAACGAAUUGCGAAAAUUAAUGUGAUUUGUAUACACGUGAAUCAUCGAGUUUUUGAACGCAUAUUGCACCGUUUACCUUUGGCUAACGGUAUGCCUGUUUGAGCGUCACUAAAAUUAUCACAAACAUUUAUGUUUUGUGGAUAGUGAGUAACCCAAAUGUAAAUUUGGAUACUUGAAAUUUAGUGGUUGUUCGGCAACGGGAACAUUAUGUUGUUGGUCAGUUUACUGAUCAACGAUCUGAUAGUAUUAACAUAACUAUUUAAUUAUAGUGGUUUAUACAUAAUUCAUCUGAUAAGUUAGUGGGUCGUCAUACCCUCAUUCUAAUCAUUUGAUGGUAUAUACUUAAGUGUUAUGUUGUUGGAUAAUAUUUAUAUUGCAUUCUGUUUAUUAACUGUUGUCAUUAUGACAGUCAAAAUCCGGGAAACUAGAUGUUAUUUAUAACAUCUACCUUAAUUUUGACCUCAAAUCAGGUAGGAGGACCCGCUGAAUUUAAGCAUAUUAAUAAGCGGAGGAAAAGAAACUAACAAGGAUUCCCCUAGUAACGGCGAGUGAAGCGGGAAUAGCUCAAGCCUUUAAUCAGUGAUGCCUCAAGUAUCAUUGAGUUGUAGCUUGAAGGUUAGCACUUUAGGAGUGACGCCGGUAUAAGUCUUUUGAAUAGGACGCCAAAGAGGGUGCAAGCCCCGUCUUUUACUGGUAGGUUAUCUUUUAAUGUAUGUGCUAGCUAGCGAGUCGAGUUGUUUGGGAAUGCAGCUCUAAUCGGGUGGUAAAUUUCAUCCAAAGCUAAAUAUCAGCCAGAGACCGAUAGUUGAACAAGUACCGUGAGGGAAAGAUGAAAAGAACUCUGGAGAGAGAGUGAAAUAGUACGUGAAAUCGCUAUAAGGGAACCAUUUGCUUAUCUCAUGACAUAUCUUUUUGCUGUGUCGGCUAACACCAGUUUUGUCUCCCAGACAGCCAGAGUAGGAAGGUAGGUAAAGCUUCGGCUUUAUUGUUAUAGCUUACUCAACGGUUUAUGCGGGGACGGGACUGAGGCAUACUCAGUACGUGCUUUCGGGCAGUUAGUUGUGCUUGCUCUUCGGGAACUUUAUAUAGACAGCUUGCUGACUAUGUAUUGGAUCUUUGUUGACUCAGGUGCUCUCUAAUCUAAUUAGUACUAAGGGUGUUGGCUUAAGGAUAGUAAAUGACCCGUCUUGAAACACGGACCAAGGAGUCUAACAUGUAUGCGAGUAUUUGGGUGACUAAACCCAUAUGCGAAAUGAAAGUGAAUGGUGCCAGGAUACUUGUAUCUGCAGCAUCGGCCGACCAUGAAGCCUCCGUGCUGAAGGUUUGAGCAAGAGCAUAUAUGCUAGGACCCGAAAGAUGGUGAACUAUACCUGAAUAGGGUGAAGCCAGAGGAAACUCUGGUGGAGGCUCGUAGCGAUUCUGACGUGCAAAUCGAUCGUCAAAUUUGGGUAUAGGGGCGAAAGACUAAUCGAACCAUCUAGUAGCUGGUUCCUGC
rnacentral:misc_RNA from 1 species